UUCACCACAUUGUGAACCAAUCACUUUACAUGCAUUUUUCUCUCAUGAAAUAAAUUUGCCAAAACUCAAGAUCAGAUCAUUCACAGAAAAUCCAACUAUCAUCAGCUUUCUUUCCUCUCCAAAAAAUUCAUUCAAAUCACAAGCAUCUCUUCAAGAAAGUACACAGUCUGUCCACUUGUUAGAAGGUUUUAGCACUGGUUUUACAAGAAGAGAAUUGUUCAAAUUUUAUCUACAGGCUUGUCCUAUCAAGGUGGGUUUUAUUUUCCAAAGUAUGCUUUGAGUUAUUGAACUCUACUUGUAUUAUGCAAAUGCAAAUGAAUAUCCAUGUUAAAAUGUUUCUUAUAUCUCUAUUGUUUAAAGUGCUCCUAUGUUAUCUAACGAUCGGGUCCUAGCCGGCGUAGCGAUUGGAUCGCCCUGGUUAGGAUUGUGUACACACAAAGGGGUAUUGUGGGCUGCUCCCACUUGCCUCAGACUGUCAGACUUGGUUUGCUCCCAUUUCUGAAACAUGCAUGGUAGUGGACCUCUGUGGGCUGCUCCCACAUGUUCACAUUAUAGGUGAAGCACCAAUAGAGAGAAGACUGGAAAUGGAUCCACAAAUUUAUUUUAAGUAUGCAUGGAAUGCUUUCAAAUAUUUCUAUGUUAUACUGUUCAUAGCAUGGAUUAUUCUUUUAAAUGGAUUUUCAAAUGUUUUCAAAUGGCUAAACCCACUGAGUAUAUUAGUACUCAGCCCUGCAAUUGUUUUCAAAACCUUUUGCAGGUUGAGCGGCAGGUGGUGUUGUGCGAGGCUGAGGGAGGAUGUUGCUGUAGUUCCAUAUAAUAAUUUCCGCUGCCAUAAUAUUCACUUAGGUGGAUAUCUUUUGAGAUUAACUCUUUAAAUAUUCUUAGCCUAAUUAUUAUGAACUCUUUUGGCAAUCGCAUUUUCUAGCAACUGAACCUCGCAUAUAUGUAUGUCUAAAAUGAAGUGUUAUCUUGUUGUCUCA